rnacentral:rRNA from 1 species
GACGAACGCUGGCGGCGUGCUUAACACAUGCAAGUCGAACGGUGAAGCACCUUCCUUUUGGUGGGUGUGGAUGAGUGGCGAACGGGUGAGUAACACGUGAGUAACCUGCCCCCUUCUUCUGGAUAACCGCAUGAAAGUGUGGCUAAUACGGGAUAUUCUGGGUCUGUCGCAUGGCGGGCCUGGGAAAGAUAUUGUUUCGGUGGGGGAUGGGCUCGCGGUCUAUCAGCUUGUUGGUGGGGUGAUGGCCUACCAAGGCGGCGACGGGUAGCCGGCCUGAGCGGGUGGACGGGCACACUGGGACUGAGACACGGCCCAGACUCCUACGGGAGGCAGCAGUGGGGAAUAGUGCACAAUGGGCGCAAGCCUGAUGCAGCGACGCCGCGUGAGGGAUGGAGGCCUUCGGGUUGUAAACCUCUUUCGCCAGUGAAGCAGGCCUGUCCCUUGUGUGGGUGGGUUGACGGUAGCUGGAUAAGAAGCGCCGGCUAACUACGUG